AUUCCAGUGAUCACACACCUACAACACCCCUCCCUCAGCACUUUGUCUUGAAACUUUUUGAUGUACUUAUGAUGUAACAAUUACAUCAUAUGCAUCAUCAGAAUUGGUAUUUAAUCCAUCCUACUUGGCUAACCUGAAUCUCUUUGGAAGCAAGGAUGCCAUCAGAUCUUUUAUUUCCAGCCCAGUACCAUAUACAGUGCUCCACACACAGCAACCAUAUCUUAUAACUUCAAGAUAUCCAAUGAGGGAUGGAGAAUGGACUGGCCCUUUUUCAACCAAGAAUAAUAAUAUUCUUUGAAUAUUUGUACUGGAGUCCUUAGCUUCCUUUUUGUGCCUGUCUUUUCUUUUCUGAGUAGUUGAUAUAGCAUCAACUUUGAUGUGGGUAUGUUCAAGUUUGGAGGAAAUCCUGUGGAUAAGUUGAAUGAAACUGACCAUCAGCAAUGGAAGUUUCUUCAUUUGAGAAGAUGAUCAAUAAAAAGAGGAGACCAAGCCCCUCA
rnacentral:lncRNA from 1 species